GGACAAAACAGCACCGUUCUUCCUGCUUUCUUGACAUUUCCGAUUAUGUAAUCCUGCAUCCCAACUUCUGACAGAUUGCAAUCUUCGAAAGAUGAGAUAAUCUCGAAAUCGAGACCAGUGUUUCUAUUGAGUUAUCGGAUCUCAGAUCAUUUGGUUGCCCAUCUCUUGCAUCUCUAAUCACUUGAUAGCCCAGUGUCCAUCUUUUUCAACCCUGGAGUGAACUUUGCAUGUGGAAUCUCAGUUCUUCAAUGGUGAAUAACUAUGUCAGAGUGAAUGUGCCGCUCUCGCGAUUCGGUGUGCUGAUGGCGCAGCUUGAGUCCAUAGACACUUCGGCCUCUCAACAAUCCCUUGAAUCUCUCCUUUGCUUGGAUUUCUUUUUCGAUCUCAUCACCCAAGGAUAAGCCCAUAAGCCUCUUCCAAAUCAUGGAAAUUCUGAAGUUGGUUAAAAGAGAAUUACUUGGAGAAUCUGUUAAACUAAUUUGAUCAAUUUUUUGACAAGAUCUUUUCGUUGAACAGAUAGAUGCUCAAUUUUUUUGGGUGCUAUUGCAGAAUCUUCUAUUACUACAGCAUUAUCUGAAAAUAGUUUUCCAAGUAUCCUUAGGUGAUUGUUUGAGGUCAAUGAGUCGUCUCUAGCAACUCAUUAAAGGUAAUCGUGCAAAUC
rnacentral:misc_RNA from 1 species